AGUAAAUAACAAUUAUGAAAGCAAAAAAUUAUGGCGGUAUUUUAAGCUUUUCAGAGGAAUUUGCUCUAUAAUGGAUAAAACACCUAAAUCUUACUUAAAUUAGUAAAUACAAUUUGUAUACCACUAUAAAAUUAAUUAUUAACUUUAAUUAAUAAAAUUUAUAAAAAUAUUAAAAUAAAUUAAGUCAAGGUGCAGUAAAAAUUUAAGUAUGAAGUGAAUUACAUUUCUUUUUAGAGACUGGUGAAUUAAAUUUAAAAUUAGGAUUUGAAAGUAAAAUUAAAAUAGAAUGUUGAUUUGAAUAAAGCUCUAAAAUAUGUACAUAUCGCCCGUCACUCUUAUUUAAG
rnacentral:rRNA from 1 species